GUAAACAACGGGUUAAUUGGUAGUGUAUGGAGUCCCCUGGUGCUGUCCUUCCAUUCAGCAUCAAACCACUUUAAUGGUUUAAUGCUAAAUAAGAGCCCCCAGCAACCCAUCCCCUCUAUUGUACUUGGUCUGCUGAGGAAGCCUUAGCCUGAGCAGCAAUGGUAGUGUCAGCUGACCAAAUUUAUCCUAUCACAGUGCUAUAGCAGGUAUAAAUUGGUAUAGCUACCAGGAAAAGCUCUCUCCCCUCUCUCCCCCCCUCUUUGUUCCUAUGAAGACUUUGCCAAUUAAUAUCCUUGUUAAGAGUGCAUUGAACAAAUAUGCUAUCUUUUCAGAUAAGAAGAACCCACAGCAGAAUCCUGUGUCCCAAAACAUAUGCAAUAGGGCCCAUUGGCCAGCAGUGGACUUCAAAAAGCAUUGACUUGGAAAUAUUGUGCUGUUAUAGUAUGCCAAGAACUUUUUAACAUUGUAAUAUGUAUUUAAAUAUUUCUAAACACUUACAUAUUGUUUGUAAUGAAUAAAUGUGGUAUGAUUACAGGUGUGCCGAGUUUUGCCAUAGGCUCAAAAAAAAUCUGCUCUUAGCCAAGGAUAGGAUGGAUGUUAGCUGUUUAACAGUCAUAUGCAUUUUUUUCUGAGUUUGGCUUUGGUUGUCCAUUGCUUGCACGAACAUGUGCAAAUACCCAGUUUUAUGAUUGAUCUCUGCUCCUAAUUAUAGUUAAUUAUAUUGCAAUUAAUUGGGCCGAAACCUGGUAUGUGUAAUGCAAAAUGUUUUCUAAACCUCGCUGUCAAUGGCUUAAUCAGUAUAAAUUGUGGUAAGAAAAUGGAUAGUAGAUGAUUGGGUAUUUAUUGCCUUCUAUUAUGUUUAGGAAUCAUUAUAUUUGGGCAGAAGGCUAGGCAUCUAUUGGUCCUACAAAUCAGUAGCUUUCUCUAAUUAUAGGCUCGCUCGCUGGCUCCCAGGUACUAGAGUUGACUAAAACAUGAGAAUAUUAUUCUUCCCACCUAGCAACGCCCCUGAUGCUAGUAGUCAUUGCCAACCUUUUCAAAGUUCAAUCAGGAAUCAAUAAAAAAUUUCAGCAGUUUAUAUUUAAUCUUUGGCCAUAUAACUGAUAAAACAAUGUUGAUAAUAAAGCUUUGCUGCCAUAAUAGUGCAGGCAUCAAGCUGCUCAUGAAUGCUUUCCGUAAACAAUGGGUUAAUUGGUAGUGUAUGGAGUCCCCUGGUGCUGUCCUUCCAUUCAGCAUCAAGCCACUUUAAUGGUUUAAUGCUAAAUAAGAGCCCCCAGCAACCCAUCCCCUCUAUUGUACUUGGUCUGCUGAGGAAGCCUUAGCCUGAGCAGCAAUGGUAGUGUCAGCUGACCAAAUUUAUCCUAUCACAGUGCUAUAGCAGGUAUAAAUUGGUAUAGCUACCAGGAAAUGUGUAAUCUCUGCCUUAGUCUUACCUCCAGUGGGGCCAGGGCUAUGGAAGCCAGGAACCAAUUCGUUCUAAACUUCUCAAAAAUGGUUUAAUACUGAAUGAAUGGAGCGACAGUGCCAGGGGUUUUCAGGCACUAUACCCAAUUCAAGGAGAUGAAAUGGUCAUAGAGCCUACAGUGUCC
rnacentral:lncRNA from 1 species